AUGAACGCUAGCGGCAGGCUUAAUACAUGCAAGUCGAGGGGCAGCACGAAUAGCAAUAUUUGGUGGCGACCGGCGCACGGGUGCGUAACACGUAUACAACCUACCUAUAACAGGGGGAUAGCCUUUCGAAAGAGAGAUUAAUACCCCGUAAUAAAUUGAACGGCAUCGUUUGAUUUUGAAAGCUCCGGCGGUUAUAGAUGGGUAUGCGUCUGAUUAGCUAGUUGGUGAGGUAACGGCUCACCAAGGCGACGAUCAGUAGGGGAUCUGAGAGGACUAACCCCCACACUGGUACUGAGACACGGACCAGACUCCUACGGGAGGCAGCAGUAAGGAAUAUUGGUCAAUGGAGGCAACUCUGAACCAGCCAUGCCGCGUGCAGGAUGAAGGCCCUAUGGGUCGUAAACUGCUUUUAUACCAGAGAAAACCCUCGUACGUGUACGAGGCUGAUAGUAUGGUAAGAAUAAGCAUCGGCUAACUUCGUGCCAGCAGCCGCGGUAAGACGAAGGAUGCAAGCGUUAUCCGGAUUCAUUGGGUUUAAAGGGUGCGUAGGCGGACUGAUAAGUCAGUGGUGAAAUCUCUUUGCUUAACAAAGAAACUGCCAUUGAUACUGUUGGUCUAGAGUAUAGAUGACGUUGGCGGAAUAUGACAUGUAGUGGUGAAAUACUUAGAUAUGUCAUAGAACACCGAUUGCGAAGGCAGCUAACGAAACUAUAACUGACGCUGAGGCACGAAAGUGCGGGGAUCAAACAGGAUUAGAUACCCUGGUAGUCCGCACCGUAAACGAUGAUUACUCGUUGUGGCGAUAUGAC
rnacentral:rRNA from 1 species